rnacentral:lncRNA from 1 species
GCUUCCGCGCUCUUUGAAAUGUCCGGCGCCGGAAUGUCUGGGUGCUUUGGUUGGAGAGGGUCCCAUUUCCAGUCAUUCUUCAGCCUGGUGAUUCCCGCGCUCCCCUGAGGAGCAUAUGAAGUACGUCGGUUCUGCCAGGUUGGAACGCGCUGCUGGACACUCGGCCGUAAGGCGGAUCCCGGAUCCCCUCCCACUCCGACCCUUCCCUCCAGAAGGGCCGGUUCCCAAACGGCCCCUUUAGACACAUCCAAGCGGUUGCCGACGGCCCUCACGAUGAAAACUGCUGUCCGUUGGUGAAGGCAGCCUCUUCUGUGCUCCUCGCCGCUGACUUCCUGAGGCAGGAGGAUCCUUUGAGUCCAGCAGUUUGAGGCCAGCCUGGACACCACAGCAAGACCACCAAUAAAUAAAUAAAUAAAUGGAA